CAUUACCGAGUUUACAACUCCCAAACCCCUGUGAACAUACCAUUUGUUGCCUCGGCGGUGCCUGCUUCGGCAGCCCGCCAGAGGACCCAAACCCUUGAUUUUAUACAGUAUCUUCUGAGUAAAUGAUUAAAUAAAUCAAAACUUUCAACAACGGAUCUCUUGGUUCUGGCAUCGAUGAAGAACGCAGCGAAAUGCGAUAAGUAAUGUGAAUUGCAGAAUUCAGUGAAUCAUCGAAUCUUUGAACGCACAUUGCGCCCGCCAGUAUUCUGGCGGGCAUGCCUGUUCGAGCGUCAUUUCAACCCUCAAGCCCCCGGGCUUGGUGUUGGAGAUCGGCGUGCCCCCCGGGGCGCGCCGCCUCCCAAAUAUAGUGGCGGUCUCGCUGUAGCUUCCUCUGCGUAGUAGCACACCUCGCACUGGAAAACAGCGUGGCCACGCCGUUAAACCCCCCACUUCUGAAAGGUUGACCUCGGAUCAGGUAGGAAUACCCGCUGAACUUAAGCAUAU
rnacentral:misc_RNA from 1 species